CGGCCACCUCACAUUGAAACACCGAUUCUCUCACGAUCACCGAAGUUAAGCAAAAUCGAGCCUGGUCAGUACUUACAUGGGUGACUACUUAGGAAUAACAGGUACUGUAAG